CGCACUCACUCACAGGAUGCCGGAGCAGGAGGUGCACACGAAGCUGCCCACGGUCAUGUCGGUGUAGGUGGGGCCCCGCUGGUCGCAGUCGAAGCACUUGCGGUUGGGCGGGAGGCUGCUCAUCUCCCGCAGCAGCUUCAGAGGAACGUGCCAGAGGAGAGUGGAACACUUUAAACCACAGAGUAUAUUCAUAUUUGAUCCCGUAACAGCAAUAGAAAUAUAAUGCUGAGCUUGCAGUGGGCAGUUGGAAUAACCAAGGAACUAACUGGCUUGAAAGAGAACUUUCAAAGAAAUAAACUGUGAAAUAAAUAACCUAAUUCUGAAACCUGGGAAUAAUCAACCAUUUGCUACUGAUUUAGAUUUCCAUGAACUUCAGCAGUCUGGCCUGCUGCUCAUGCAGCAGAGAGCCUGAAUCAAGGAAAUCCUCACAAACUUCUCUUGGACAUCGUGCCUGCAGCCACAGGACACUGUCAAAGCAGAUUUGCAGCAGCUGGGAAAAAAAUGUGCAAGGCUGUGGGUCUUGAAGUGAAACUGGAUGGGUGUGGGCAUCUAAGUUCCUUCUAAAGCAAUCAUAGCAGCAGUAGAAGCAAUAAUGAAUUGCCAUGGGGGGGAUCUUCUAAGUGUCAAUAUGAAUGUCAUCCUUUUUUUUCCUUCUCCAAUUGUUGUCUCAUUGCCUGAUGGCCACAGGUUGUUGAAAACUGCCUGACUGAAAACGUGCUGAAAUAGCAUAACAUGAUAUUUGAGACAGAAAUUAAGUAUUUAACAUAUAUUUUUACUGCAAAAGAAGCAUGAAAGAAAACUAAACUAUGCUCUCAUAUUAUAAACAGAAAAUGACAGGGGAAUCAUUCAAAUCUAAACCCAUCAUCUCCCUAGCAAAGCAAACCUAAUCAAAUUAUAAAAGUAGCUCUCCCAAGCGCAUUGCCACAGUGGUUGCUCGAUCAGAAAGUCUGUGUAAUGGAAUAGGAAACCUUCAGACACGCUUUUAGAUUAAGCAACUGUGUUUUUCCUGAUGGAGUACAAAAAAAAAAAAAAUUAUAAACAUUUCCAGUUCCCAUCACUUGAAAUUAAAGAGAAUAAUUUACAUUCAACUAGCUCAACUAAUGAAGCAAUUUUCUCUCUGAACUUUUUUCCUUCUUAAACAUUCUCUGAUAUUGGACUCAUUUUCACAAAUUGUUUUGUUCUGUUGUCAACCUAAACCCUGAUAUUUUUGCCAGUAACUUAGAGGAUAAAGCUGUGCCUCCUAGUGCUACUGAAAUAACCACUAAAGUAACUGCAUUUCUUUAUUUAACCACCGGAACUUUUAGACAAAUCCUUGCCCUCUGGUGGUGGGAAUGCUUCCCCUGGUUAAUCCUCCUCUGACAUGACUAAUUCUGGGACACUUCCUUAGUUUCAACAGUAUUUUCUUAAUUUUGCAGAACUCCCUCUGUGCAGGAGACAUUCCACAAGAACAGGUUUCAGAAUGCUAUCUCUGAACUCCAAUUACUCUGAAUUUUCUCUUAGGUUUAGGCCUACUGUGGGCAGUGGUGCUCCACCCAUGUGUCUCCUUCAGUCUCAAGGAAAGCACACUGAUUUUUCACUCCACUUGGCUUCAUUGUUAGACUAGCAAUAUCCCCUGCAUUACCUCAGAGAUAUUAAUCCCAAAUCUGAAUAUGCCCCCACAAAUUCACUGUCUCAACAUGGCAGUGGGUCUGUCCUCACUUACUACCUGCUGUGUGGCAUCAUUCUCUAGAAAUGGUCAAAUAAGUGAGAGCAGAACAUUUUAAAACUUCAAAACUUCAUAACUUCAGAAACUCAUCUCCUAUACCAGUAACAAAUAUUUAAUUGCUCCCUUCUCUAAGGUUGAAAAAUUGCCAGGGGCGCUUUUCCUUACCACCCAAGUGCACGGCACGGCCUACAAAAAGCCACACAUACACUGGCAUUGACAAACUGAAGAUUUGAUUCAAUAUUUGGCUAAAUAUGUGGGAAUCGUGAAACUAUGGAAGCUCUUGCCAGAAGCAAAGGACUACAGCUCACAUUGUCUCCUGAAACAACUUGUAAUGAACAGCAUUAAUGUUCUCUGAAGGUGGAUAUUGAAACAUUGUUUCAGAAUGUUUUUGGGUUUUUUUGCAAGUUGCAAACUUUUAGCAUUCAGAAAUGCUACAAAAACAUUGGACAGGUAAUUUACAUUACAUUGAAAAUAACAUUUUUAAUAGAAACACCUACCUACUGAUUCAUUUUGGUUUCCUAUAUAAAGUAACAAAAUUAGGUGCUUUAAACCAAAAUGGUGCCUUCAGGACAAAGAGUACUAAACUAAAAAGGUCAGGUAACAACUAAUCUAAAAGUUACUCAAGUUAGAAAAACAAAUGUUGCUCUGAUUUAUACAAGCAUCCCAGACUAAUUAAGAGAAAACACUGGACGGCAGAGCUAUUGAGAUGCCCCUUAAAGGGGAGCUCUUAAGCACCUUCAAAACUCAAUGAAAUUUUAAUCUUAUUGGAAUUAAAUGCAAAAUUCCUCCAACAUCAAUAAAAUCAAGAUUUCUUCUGAUAAAGAACAUUGGUAUAAGUGAGUACAACUGGCAAUGAACAGUUGCAGAGGUAAAGAAUAAAUUUUAAUUUCCAGAUCAGAAAAGUAAGGUUCUGUAAUUGUCCCCAGAUUGAGCAACAGGAGCAAAAGAUUUAAUGUGUCCAAAAUAAACACUUGAUUAUAAACCUGUAAGUUCAAGAGCACAGUGCCCAGCACAGCUGCCACAGACUGGCAGAAACAUUACACUUAUUACACAGAAAUAGAAAGGGAUGAUAAUAUUUACCUUCUUCCUAGAGCUACCCUUUUCCCAAAGAAGAGCAGCUGUUUUUAUGUGCACCACAAAGAGCUACAUUGCAGUGUGCCUGUGAUUUAGUAAUCACCAAGAGGCUUCAAAAAUGCUCUGAUUCUGUAACACAGAGCAGCUGUUCCCACUCUGCAGCAUCAAACUACCACACAGCUAUUUACUGACCAACUGGUGAGCACUGGAUCUUUAGUUUCUUAGUCAAGCUGAAAUGGGAAAAAUACAAAACUAGUGCCAUUACAUCUGGGGAACUGAUUUGGAAGCCAAUCUGUCCUUAUUGAGAAGUGUUUGCUUCUUGACACUAAAUGCAUCUCUCAAUAUUAAACUUCAAAGCUCUGAUGUAAGAGAACCCAAGUAGUUCAGAGCCUCUUUAAAGUUACGGCAGCACUCAGUAAAAUUAAGGACAAGGAAAAGUAGGGCACUUCUUAUGUUCCUGUACUGCAUCAUUCCCUCCCUCUGCCCUGUAAAACACAAUGACAACACACCUUUUGAUGUUUUGAAUUCUUCAUGGCUUUGUAUGGCAGCAUAACACCAGAGCACCUAAUUUAAAUUUUUGAUUUAUCAUAAAACCCACGAGAUUGUUAUAAGAAAUAAAAAAUAAAUGUCAUAAACCAGUAAAAGUUUUUACUUUUCACCAGCAAUUUCAAACUCUGAAUUAACAAAGAGAUAACUAUGAAAUGAUUGUGUUUUCAUCCCCUGUCUUUAAGUCACAGCAACAAUUAAUACAGUUAUUCCUGGACUUUUUUUUUUUUUUUAAUUAAGAGAAAAUUGCAGGAAAACAUCUGGUUAUUGUAACCAGAAGCUGCAGUUGAAAGCAAGGAGACAGAACUGGGUGAUCAGUCACAUCACUGAACUGCUGAUACACAGGAGCAAAGGCACAAACUGAGAACAGAAGCAACUUAACAACAGUGCAUGAAAGCAUGUUAAGAAGUUUUUCUCCAAUUACUUAGCUGGUACCAAUAGAAUAGAACUUCUCUUACCUUUCUCAAAAUAAAAUUGCUUUUACAACACUUAAAAAAAAAA